UUAUCCUUUGUUCGAGUGAACCUAUCUCAAACUUUGACUCCAAACGACCCAUCUAGACUUCUAAACUGGGUCAACCUAUCUUGACCUUCUACCUCAGCCCGUCCUUCUAGACUUUCAACAUAAGUCAACAUAUCACCUUCAAUUCAUACCAGCCGGUCUUGAACUUUGACGCAAGACACUUGUUCUCAACCUUCAUUUUGGACCAACCUUUAUCGACCUUCAAACUAGGACGACCUUUAUCUUGAGUCCACCUUCGGUCUAGAUUAAC
rnacentral:lncRNA from 1 species